rnacentral:lncRNA from 1 species
ACGAGUUCCCAGAUUCGUCAGAAUUAUUCCACUGAGGUGGAGGCCACUGUCAACCACCUGGUCAACACACCUCUGCCAGCCUUCUACACCGACCUCUCUCUGGGCUUCUCUUCUGACCACAACGACGUGGCUCUGGAGGGCAUGGGCCACUUUUUCUACGAAUGGGUUAAGGAGAAGUGCAAGGGCACCCAGCAUCUCUUGAAAAUGCAAAACCAGCGCUGCAGCCGCUCCCUCUUCCAGGAUGCGCAGAAGCGUCUCAAGACGAGUCGGGUAAAACCCCGGACACUCUGGAAGCCGCCCUUUUCAUGGAGAAGCACCAGAACCAGCCCUUUUGGAUCUGCAUGGCCUGGGUUCUGCUUGCACAGAGCCCCACCUCUUUGACUUCCUGGAGGGACACGUCCUAGAAGAUGGGGACCACCUGACCAACCUCCACAGGCUGGCUGGUCCCUUAUCUCCUCCAAAGACUCACCCUCAAGCAUGACUAG